AGUGAACGCUGGCGGUAGGCCUAACACAUGCAAGUCGAACGGCAGCACAGUAAGAGCUUGCUCUUACGGGUAGCGAGUGGCGGACGGGUGAGGAAUACAUCGGAAUCUACUUUUUCGUGGGGGAUAACGUAGGGAAACUUACGCUAAUACCGCAUACGACCUACGGGUGAAAGCAGGGGAUCUUCGGACCUUGCGCGAUUGAAUGAGCCGAUGUCGGAUUAGCUAGUCGGCGGGGUAAAGGCCCACCAAGGCGACGAUCCGUAGCUGGUCUGAGAGGAUGAUCAGCCACACUGGAACUGAGACACGGUCCAGACUCCUACGGGAGGCAGCAGUGGGGAAUAUUGGACAAUGGGCGCAAGCCUGAUCCAGCCAUACCGCGUGGGUGAAGAAGGCCUUCGGGUUGUAAAGCCCUUUUGUUGGGAAAGAAAAGCAGCAGGUUAAUACCCCGCUGUUCUGACGGUACCCAAAGAAUAAGCACCGGCUAACUUCGUG
rnacentral:rRNA from 1 species